rnacentral:ncRNA from 1 species
AAAACCAAGUCUCUAAGCAAUGGAUGUCUUGGCUCCUCACACGAUGAAGAACGUGGCAUAAUGUGUUAAGUAACCGGAGUUGCAAACAUCAUGACAGGUUAAUCUUUGAAUGCAAAUUGCGCUAAACUCGAUCUCGGUCGAGAAGCAUGGGUGUGACAGUACUACAUCUUUUAUAAUAAUUCUUAUUCUAAGCGAAUAAGUAAAUAAUAUAUAAGACAAACAACACGUAGUCUGCCAUACGCAGGAAGACCCGCUGAACUGAAGCAUCUCAUUAAGCGGAGGAAAAGAAACUAACUAGGAUUCCCUUAGUAAAGGCGAUCGAAAAGGGAACAGCCCAACGUCUUAAUCCCGCAAGGGAAAUGUAGUCGGUUCACCUAUUGCACUGGUCUAAGUCAGAUGGAAUGCUGCGCGAUUCAGAGUAAAAGCCUCGUAUGACCAACCGCAAGCUUACGAUGGACCGGGGAGAGUCGGAUACUUUGAGAGUAGUGUCUUAAGGGGGUGGUAUGUCCCAUCCAAGGCUAAAUAACGUGAGGAGACCGGAUAGAUUACAAGUA